rnacentral:rRNA from 1 species
CUACGGGUUGUACCAGUGGGGAAUAUUGCACAAUGGGCGCAAGCCUGAUGCAGCCAUGCCGCGUGUAUGAAGAAGGCCUUCGGGUUGUAAAGUACUUUCAGCGGGGAGGAAGGGAGUAAAGUUAAUACCUUUGCUCAUUGACGUUACCCGCAGAAGAAGCACCGGCUAAGUCGUGCCAGCAGCCGCGGUAAUACGGAGGGUGCAAGCGUUAAUCGGAAUUACUGGGCGUAAAGCGCACGCAGGCGGUUUGUUAAGUCAGAGGUGAAAUCCCCGGGCUCAACCUGGGAACUGCAUCUGAUACUGGCAAGCUUGAGUCUCGUAGAGGGGGGUAGAAUUCCAGGUGUAGCGGUGAAAUGCGUAGAGAUCUGGAGGAAUACCGGUGGCGAAGGCGGCCCCCUGGACGAAGACUGACGCUCAGGUGCGAAAGCGUGGGGAGCAAACAGGAUUAGAUACCCCCGUAGUC